rnacentral:rRNA from 1 species
GAUGAACGCUGGCGGCGUGCCUAAUACAUGCAAGUCGAGCGAACAGACGAGGAGCUUGCUCCUCUUACGUUAGCGGCGGACGGGUGAGUAACACGUGGAUAACCUACCUAUAAGACUGGGAUAACUUCGGGAAACCGGAGCUAAUACCGGAUAAUAUCUUGAACCGCAUGGUUCAAUAGUGAAAGACGGUUUUGCUGUCACUUAUAGAUGGAUCCGCGCCGCAUUAGCUAGUUGGUAAGGUAACGGCUUACCAAGGCAACGAUGCGUAGCCGACCUGAGAGGGUGAUCGGCCACACUGGAACUGAGACACGGUCCAGACUCCUACGGGAGGCAGCAGUAGGGAAUCUUCCGCAAUGGGCGAAAGCCUGACGGAGCAACGCCGCGUGAGUGAUGAAGGUCUUCGGAUCGUAAAACUCUGUUAUUAGGGAAGAACAAAUGUGUAAGUAACUAUGCACGUCUUGACGGUACCUAAUCAGAAAGCCACGGCUAACUACGUG